UACAGAGGUCUCAAGCGUUGUUCGGAUUCAUUGGGCGUAAAGGGUGCGUAGGCGGUCUGUUGCGUCCGCUGUGAAAACUCGGGGCUUAACCCCGAGCCUGCAGUGGAUACGGGCAGACUAGAGGUAGGUAGGGGAGAAUGGAAUUCCCGGUGUAGCGGUGAAAUGCGCAGAUAUCAGGAGGAACACCCGUGGCGAAAGCGGCUCUCUGGGACGGUACUGACGCUGAGACGCGAAAGCGUGGGGAGCAAACAGG
rnacentral:rRNA from 1 species